rnacentral:lncRNA from 1 species
UUUUGAUAGCACCUUUUCUUCCUAUUAGUAGGUCUUAUUGCCCGUUAAGUUCCUUUUCUGGUAGUCUAGUUGUAGUUUUUUUUGAGCGUGUGAACCCAUGUUCUAUCUCGUAGUCACUUAAGCGGCAGAGUCUGUAAACUCAAAUGGUCUGAGAGUUGCCUUUAGCUUCUGAACCUUUGAAACUGGAUUGGAGCAAGCUACCAAGCUCCUCUUCCCCCGAAUCACUACUAAAUGGCGGCGUAAUUGAAGUUCAAUCUUUUCGAUAUUUCUUCUCCUCAGCUGAUGGUCGAAAGCCCCUCCCUCAGACACAGACAGGACAGGAACUAGUCAUUUAAAAGCCAGGACUAGUACUCAAUCUUCCUCGAGUUCACAAAAUAGCCCUUUGCUCUAGCUAAUGAAUCCCCCACUUUUUUCUCGAAAUAGAUCUUGUUACUUGGAACAAGGUAGAAUGAAACCCGGGGCCCUAUCUGGUUCACUUCAUAUAUCCCGC